GACGGGUUGGCUGGAAUCCAUGCAGGCAGGGUGCUAGCAGAGUCUCCUUUUCUCUCAGGACACUGGUGCUCACUGAGGGAGCCACGUGUCCUCUGUACCCUAGGGCCUGUGCCUGUCGUUGCCUUCGGUGCUUCCCUCUGAGAGCUCGGCCUCCAGGACCCCGUCUCAUGCAGGGACUGGGUGCGGCCUUGUCCCCCACCACCCUGGGGCGAGCCUGGCAGCCACUGGUGACAAGUGAACCUGUGGGGAUGGGCUGCUGCCUCCGUGCACUGGCUUCCCGCUCUCCACACCACCUUCCCUGCCCUAGCCCCCACCUUGUAAGCCAGGACACCCCAUGCUGUCUUCCUGAGCUUUCCCAAAGUCGGCGGGAAUCUCAGAAUGGCCGUGUUCUGGGAGACACUGGGUCCACCAUGAGAACAACGUGUCUUCCGGGACAGGACUUGUCUGCCUCCUCCUCCUGGGGAAGGCCGGCCACUCGCAGAGUGGGCCUUGCCUUUCGUUGACUUUCUGUGGUUGCAGGAGCUGGCACAGUGUGUGGUGGCCAGUCUUUCUGGGACCACCAGUGUGGGGGGCUGUCCAAGCUCCCCACUGCUAAAGCGGAUGCCACAUGACGGGCUGGCUUGACAACAGGAACUUACGGGCUCACAGUGGCAGAGGCUGGAGGGCUGGCUUCCUCCGGGGUCUCUGUCUUCUGGCUGUGGCCAUCCAUGGUCCUUGGCUUUCCCGUCACAUGGCGAUGCACAUGGCGGUGUCUCCUUUCCCUCCUGAGUCCACUGACUUCCAGUGUCCAGCUGCUCCGUGGCUGCAUUUUUGUGUCCACUUCCCUUGGCUUGUGAGGAUCUGCCCUUUGGACCAAGGCCCCUCCUCCAGCGAGGGCACCUGGACAGCGGCAUCUUCCGAGUCCCAUCCACAGGUGGCUGUGGGGUGCCCAGGCUUUGAGGGCCUGAGCCCCAGGUGUGUGGUGUGGAGCAGCCAGGUCCGGGCUUCGCUGCUGUGAGGCCCAGACAGUGCUGCUGAGGCGAAAUCCGCCCCUGAUGGAGCCCGGGGUCCUGACAUCACAGAGGUUUUCACCUGCUGAGCUCAACAACAGGGUGUGACCCACUGUGGGUGUCCGGGUGGGGGUCCUGCUAGGGCACAUAGGGGGAAGGGGGCUCCCUGGAGAAGGUGGGCUGGGACUUCCCCUCAGGUGAUCCAUGGGGCAGGGAUCAGGGAGAAGCCCGUGUGGGGGACCCUGAAGCCGAGGAGCCGCGGUGGGUGAGGUGGUCGCGGUUGACAGGAAGCGCUGUUUGGACUUCCCACCAGGCUCCCACCUCAGCAGGAGGCACCGAGUCUGCUGAGGAGACGUGAACCGACUGCCCCGUCCUGUCCCUGCAGCCGCUACAGUGGUGGGGACGGGGUGGGGGAGUCUUCUCUGCGGCGAACAUGCCUUCCUCUCCCAGGUUGUAUAUGCAGCGAACUGGCCGAUGGCGGUGCCUGUGGGGAAGUUGAUCUUCAGGAGGUGCCAAUGGGGUCCAUCCACGGGGGACAGAGAACAGAUUCUAAAUACGGGACCGUCUCGCAGGUCAGAGCCCUGGAGAGGAGCUGGAAGGGCGGCGCUUCUGCGGGAAGGUGCUGACUGAUCUUCCUGCGGGGUGAGGCGAGGCCGCUGGAGCCGAACAUGGGGCUGAGACGGCAGCCGGGUGGUUUCCUCUCUCCACCGCGUGCAGUGGACGCCUGGAUCCUGCUUGCAUUUCUAGGGUGGGGCCGGCCCGGGGUCUGCAUGAGGGUGAGGGAUGGAUUCGGGGUCCCUGUUGGGGGCUGU